rnacentral:ncRNA from 2 species
AUGGUGGUCGACGCAGCUGGUUCGCGGCGCCAUCCAGGCGUCGCGAGGCAAGAGGGAACCCGGUGGAAGUCCGGGACUGCCCCGCAGCGGUGAGUGGGAACGACAGCCGUCACACGCACUGGGUCGAGCGAUCGACCUGGGAAGCGACGGCCGGUAGGGGUCGACCGGCGAGAGCCGGGAGGCGCGCCCGCGAGUCCGAAGACCUGCCAGCGCACCACACCCGUC